UACGUAGGGGCAAGCGUUAUCCGGAAUUAUUGGACGUAAAGAGUGCGUAGGUGGUUACCUAAGCGCAAGGUUUAAUCUUGAGGCUCAACCUCAUUUUGCCUUGCGAACUGGGCUACUUGAGUGCAGGAGGGGAAAGCGGAAUUCCUAGUGUAGCGGUGUAAUGCGUAGAUAUUAGGAAGAACACCGGUGGCGAAGGCGGCUUUCUGGACUGUAACUGACACUGAGGCACGAAAGCGUGGGGAGCAAACAGGAUUAGAUACCCUGGUAGUCCCUGAG
rnacentral:rRNA from 1 species